UCCUGUAGUUGUCACCUCGUUUCAAAUUGUUUUUUCGAAAAUCAAGCGUGUGUGUUUGCACGCCUUCCGUGGUUGCUGUCGUUGCUGUCGUUACUGCGUCGGUUGGUUGCAGACACCUCUUUUCGUCGACUAUAUCUUUCUUUCUUUCGCCCUCGUCUUUUACAUCUAUUCCCAUUCGUUCUCUCAUCUCCCUAUAUAUUUGUUUUUCCCACCCGCGGCUCUUCCUCUCCCUCACUCCCUCGGUGCGUGUGGUGGUGGUUUGCCUCUCUUGUCGAUUCCUGUAGUUGUCGCCUCGUUUCAAAUUGUUUUUUCGAAAAUCAAGCGUGUGUGUUUGCACGCCUUCCGUGGUUGCUGUCGUUACUGCGUCGGUUGGUUGCAGACACCUCUUUCGUCGACUAUAUCUUUCUUUCUUUCGCCCUCGUCUUUUACAUCUGUUCCCAUUCGUUCUCUCAUCUCCCUAUAUAUUUGUUUUUCCCACCCGCGGCUCUUCCUCUCCCUCACUCCCUCGGUGCGUGUGGUGGUGGUUUGCCUCUCUUGUCGAUUCCUGUAGUUGUCGCCUCGUUUCAAAUUGUUUUUCGAAAAUCAAGCGUGUGUGUUUGCACGCCUUCCGUGGUUGCUGUCGUUACUGCGUCGGUUGGUCGCAGACACCUCUUUUCGUCGACUAUAUAUUUCUUUCGCCCUCGUCUUUUGCAUUUACCGAUUCUCCCCUCCCCUAUAUAUUUGUUUUUCCCACCCGCGGCUCUUCCUCUCCCUCACUCCCUCGGUGCGUGUGGUGGUGGUUGCGCCUCUUUUUGAGAUUCCUGUAGUUGUCGCCUCGUUUCAAAUUGUUUUUCGAAAGUCAAGCGUGUGUGUUUGCACGCCUUCCGUGGUUGCUGUCGUUGCUGUCGUUACUGCGUCGGUUGGUCGCAGACACCUCUUUUCGUCGACUAUAUCUUUCUUUCUUUCGCCCUCGUCUUUUACAUCUGUUCCCAUUCGUUUCUCAUCUCCCUAUAUAUUUGUUUUUCCCACCCGCGGCUCUUCCUCUCCCUCACUCCCUCGGUGCGUGUGGUGGUGGUUGCGCCUCUUUUGAGAUUCCUGUAGUUGUCGCCUCGUUUCAAAUUGUUUUUUCGAAAAUCAAGCGUGUGUGUUUGCACGCCUUCCGUGGUUGCUGUCGUUACUGCGUCGGUUGGUCGCAGACACCUCUUUUCGUCGACUAUAUAUUUCUUUCGCCCUCGUCUUGUGCAUUUACGCGAAUUCUCCCCUCCCCUAUAUAUUUGUUUUUCCCACCCGCGGCUCUUCCUCUCCCUCACUCCCUCGGUGCGUGUGGUGGUGGUUGCGCCUCUUUUCAGAUCCUGUAGUUGUCGCCUCGUUUCAAAUUGUUUUUUCGAAAAUCAAGCGUGUGUGUUUGCACGCCUUCCGUGGUUGCUGUCGUUACUGCGUCGGUUGGUUGCAGACACCUCUUUCGUCGACUAUAUCUUUCUUUCUUUCGCCCUCGUCUUUUGCAUCUACUCCCAUUCGUUCUCCCCUCCCCUAUAUAUUUGUUUUUCCCACCCGCGGCUCUUCCUCUACCUCACUCCCUCGGUGCGUGUGGUGGUGGUUCGCCUCUUUUUGAGAUUCCUGUAGUUGUCGCCUCGUUUCAAAUUGUUUUUUCGAAAAUCAAGCGUGUGUGUUUGCACGCCUUCCGUGGUUGCUGUCGUUGCUGUCGUUACUGCGUCGGUUGGUUGCAGACACCUCUUUCCGUCGACUAUAUCUUUCUUUCUUUCGCCCUCGUCUUUUACAUCUGUUCCCAUUCGUUGUCUCAUCUCCCUAUAUAUUUGUUUUUCCCACCCGCGGCUCUUCCUCUCCCUCACUCCCUCGGUGCGUGUGGUGGUGGUUGCGCCUCUUUUUGAGAUUCCUGUAGUUGUCGCCUCGUUUCAAAUUGUUUUUUCGAAAAUCAAGCGUGUGUGUUUGCACGCCUUCCGUGGUUGCUGUCGUUGCUGUCGUUACUGCGUCGGUUGGUUGCAGACACCUCUUUCCGUCGACUAUAUCUUCUUUCUUUCGCCCUCGUCUUUUACAUCUGUUCCCAUUCGUUCUCUCAUCUCCCUAUAUAUUUGUUUUUUCCCACCCGCGUCUGAUCGCGUCUGCGGAGGUUCCUCUCUGUGCCCUCUGUGGCUGUGUGCGCUGUUCUACUCGCCCUUUCUCGUGUCGCCGAAGCCCACGUUCUCGCCCCCUCCGCUCUCCUUGAUUCCUGUUGCGGACAACAACUGCGAAGACGGGAAGCAAGGAAAAGGCGGCUCCGCAGCCCCGUAUUCACACAAGGAAAGAAACAAGAAAACGCACAAGAAAACGCACAAACACACAAGAAAACGCACAAACACACAAGAAAACGCACAAACACACAAGAAAACGCACAAACACACAAGAAAACGCACAAACACACAAGAAAACGCACAAACACACAAGAAAACGCACAAACACACAAGAAAACGCACAAACACACAAGAAAACGCACAAACACACAAGAAAACGCACAAACACACAAGAAAACGCACAAACACACAAGAAAACGCACAAGAAAACGCACAAACACACAAGAAAACGCACAAGAAAACGGAGCCGGCAGGGAAGGCGAAGGGCAACAACGCAAAAGAAGAAAAGGCGGCGCCGCAGAAACGGGUGGGAGAAGACGGCACACGUCCACUGGGCCGUUCUGGUCAUAUUUCUCUGCGUGCCUUCGGUGUUUUUUUUUCUCUCGUUUUUGUGUCUUCUCUUUCCUCUCUUUGUUUUCGAGCCGCUUUUCCGUGCGCCUUAUUUGUCCGCCCUCUUCCUCGCCCUUUCGCAUGUCGCCGAAGCCCACGCUCUCGCCCCCUCCCCACCUCCGCCGACAUCCCGUCGGAACACGACGAGGACGGCAGGUAAGAGACGGCCGGCUCAUCGCCGACGUUGAGAUGCCGCUCCUUACCAGCUGUGCGGUGGUUUCCCUCCUCCUCGUGUGUGUUUUGUGGAGGAUGGAGGACGGACUGGAGCUGUGCGCUGUGGGACUUGUGUCUUGUUUUGGCUGCCGCGCCUUGCGGAUGGCGAUGCGGUUCUCUUUGUUCUCACUGCACGCUUUCCUGGUGCUCGUGAGGGCGCACUGCCCUCUUGCCUAUACACUCCUUUUCGUGGCCGGAGGACUCGUUUUGCACGCGUGCGCCCUCCUCUAUCUCUCUCUUUCUUUGGGCAUGCGUGCUCUUCGCUCUUCGUGCCCCGCCUUUCCUUGCUGGCAGGCUUCGCCGAGCACCACGCCACUCCUCCGGGAAAUCAGCCGCAACGAACCACCGUCCGCGAAGAAUGAGCGGAACAACCCAGAUUAUAGCAGCAUGAAGCCGAGCAAGCGAGCAGCAAACCUGGAUAGCCGUGGGGCCACAAGUGCAGAUCAUUCUACAGCGUCUUCUCAUACAGAGGCGGUGCCGCCGUUGACAGUCGAUACAUUGACCGUUCCGCUAGUCCACGCCGAGUGCGCACCCGCCACCGCACCGCUGUCGCCAGGAAACGGUCUUACACCCACACUGGCCGAGUGCGCAUCUGAGGCGGCGCGCCGGCCGACCGAGGCGGCGCCGGUGUCUGCAGUGGAGGCUCUGCCUGCGACGCCUGCCGAGUGCGCAUCCGACGCCGCGCCCCAAAAGAUCAAGAUGACGGCAAGAAAACAUCAUGCGACCGCUUCCCUGCAUCGUAAGCGGGAGCGUGAUGGUGCGUCUGAUUCAAGUUUAUGGCCGCUGCAUACUCGGCGCGCUCUUGACCCGUCCACCCACACUGCAGCGCCCCAGCUGAGCGAGGCGGCGCCGGUGUCUGCAGUGGAGGCUCUGCCUCCGACGCCUGCCGAGUGCGCAUCUGAGGCGGAGCCCCAGCCGAGCGAGGCGGGGCCGGUGUCUGCAGUGGAGGCUCUGCCUCCGACGCCUGCCGAGUGCGCAUCUGAGGCGGCGCCCCAGCCGAGCGAGGCGGCGCCGGCGUCUGCAGUGGAGGCUCUGCCUCCGACGCCUGCCGAGUGCGCAUCCGACGCCGUGCCACAGCCGAGCGAGGCGGCGCCGGCGUCUGCAGUGGAGGCUCUGCCUCCGACGCCUGCCGAGUACACAUCUGAGGCGGCGCCGGUGUCUGCAGUGGAGGCUCUGCCUGCGACGCCUGCCGAGUGCGCAUCCGACGCCGUGCCACAGCCGAGCGAGGCGGCGCCGGUGUCUGCAGUGGAGGCUCUGCCUGCGACGCCUGCCGAGUGCGCAUCUGAGGCGGCGCCCCAGCCGAGCGAGGCGGCGCCGGUGUCUGCAGUGGAGGCUCUGCCUCCGACGCCUGCCGAGUGCGCAUCUGAGGCGGCGCCCCAGCCGAGCGAGGCGGCGCCGGCGUCUGCAGUGGAGGCUCUGCCUCCGACGCCUGCCGAGUGCGCAUCCGACGCCGUGCCACAGCCGAGCGAGGCGGCGCCGGCGUCUGCAGUGGAGGCUCUGCCUCCGACGCCUGCCGAGUACACAUCUGAGGCGGCGCCGGUGUCUGCAGUGGAGGCUCUGCCUGCGACGCCUGCCGAGUGCGCAUCCGACGCCGUGCCACAGCCGAGCGAGGCGGCGCCGGCGUCUGCAGUGGAGGCUCUGCCUCCGACGCCUGCCGAGUACACAUCUGAGGCGGCGCCGGUGUCUGCAGUGGAGGCUCUGCCUCCGACGCCUGCCGAGUGCGCAUCCGACGCCGUGCCACAGCCGAGCGAGGCGGCGCCGGCGUCUGCAGUGGAGGCUCUGCCUGCGACGCCUGCCGAGUGCGCAUCUGAGGCGGCGCCCCAGCCGAGCGAGGCGGCGCCGGCGUCUGCAGUGGAGGCUCUGCCUGCGACGCCUGCCGAGUGCGCAUCUGAGGCGGCGCCCCAGCCGAGCGAGGCGGCGCCGGCGUCUGCAGUGGAGGCUCUGCCUCCGACGCCUGCCGAGUACACAUCUGAGGCGGCGCCCCAGCCGAGCGAGGCGGCGCCGGCGUCUGCAGUGGAGGCUCUGCCUCCGACGCCUGCCGAGUGCGCAUCUGAGGCGGCGCCCCAGCUGAGCGAGGCGGCGCCGGCGUCUGCAGUGGAGGCUCUGCCUCCGACGCCUGCCGAGUACACAUCUGAGGCGGAGCCCCAGCCGAGCGAGGCGGCGCCGGUGUCUGCAGUGGAGGCUCUGCCUCCGACGCCUGCCGAGUACACAUCUGAGGCGGAGCCCCAGCCGAGCGAGGCGGCGCCGGCGUCUGCAGUGGAGGCUCUGCCUCCGACGCCUGCCGAGUGCACAUCUGAGGCGGCGCCACAGCCGAGCGAUUCGGCGCCGGUGUCGCUUAGCCACACUCGCCCUCCCACGCCUGUCGAGUGCGCAUCUGAGGCGGCGCCCCAGCCGAGCGAGGCGGCGCCGGUGUCUGCAGUGGAGGCUCUGCCUCCGACGCCUGCCGAGUGCACAUCUGAGGCGGCGCCACAGCCGAGCGAGGCGGGGCCGGUGUCUGCAGUGGAGGCUCUGCCUCCGACGCCUGCCGAGUGCGCAUCUGAGGCGGCGCCCCAGCCGAGCGAGGCGGCGCCGGUGUCUGCAGUGGAGGCUCUGCCUCCGACGCCUGCCGAGUACACAUCUGAGGCGGAGCCCCAGCCGAGCGAGGCGGCGCCGGUGUCUGCAGUGGAGGCUCUGCCUCCGACGCCUGCCGAGUACACAUCUGAGGCGGAGCCCCAGCCGAGCGAGGCGGCGCCGGCGUCUGCAGUGGAGGCUCUGCCUCCGACGCCUGCCGAGUGCACAUCUGAGGCGGCUCCACAGCCGAGUAUGGUGUCGCGGAUGUUUGCAGGCAAUGCUGCACCUCGCAUGUAUUUCGCCCCUCACCACCGUGAGGAGGGAGGCCCCGUUAUGGCGAUGCGGCCGCCUUCUGGAAGCUGCAGAGUGGACGCGUCGCGUGCGGCGGCACGGCUGGCUGCGGUGUUUGGCGGGCUGCCGACACUGGAGGUGUCGCCGCCUUCCCGCUGUCCGAAGGUGGUCUUGCCGGCGUCGCAGCAUGUGCCGCAAGCGAUCGAGGCGGCGCCGGUGUCUGCAGUGGAGGCUCUGCCUCCGACGCCUGCCGAGUGCACAUCUGAGGCGGCGCCACAGCCGAGCGAUUCGGCGCCGGUGUCGCUUAGCCACACUCGCCCUCCCACGCCUGUCGAGUGCGCAUCUGAGGCGGCGCCCCAGCCGAGCGAGGCGGCGCCGGUGUCUGCAGUGGAGGCUCUGCCUCCGACGCCUGCCGAGUGCACAUCUGAGGCGGCGCCCCAGCUGAGCGAGGCGGCGCCGGUGUCGCUUAGCCACACUCGCCCUCCCACGCCUGUCGAGUGCGCAUCUGAGGCGGCGCCCCAGCCGAGCGAGGCGGCGCCGGCGUCUGCAGUGGAGGCUCUGCCUCCGACGCCUGCCGAGUGCACAUCUGAGGCGGCUCCACAGCCGAGUAUGGUGUCGCGGAUGUUUGCAGGCAAUGCUGCACCUCGCAUGUAUUUCGCCCCUCACCACCGUGAGGAGGGAGGCCCCGUUAUGGCGAUGCGGCCGCCUUCUGGAAGCUGCAGAGUGGACGCGUCGCGUGCGGCGGCACGGCUGGCUGCGGUGUUUGGCGGGCUGCCGACACUGGAGGUGUCGCCGCCUUCCCGCUGUCCGAAGGUGGUCUUGCCGGCGUCGCAGCAUGUGCCGCAAGCGAUCGAGGCGGCGCCGGUGUCUGCAGUGGAGGCUCUGCCUCCGACGCCUGCCGAGUGCACAUCUGAGGCGGCGCCACAGCCGAGCGAUUCGGCGCCGGUGUCGCUUAGCCACACUCGCCCUCCCACGCCUGUCGAGUGCGCAUCUGAGGCGGAGCCCCAGCCGAGCGAGGCGGCGCCGGCGUCUGCAGUGGAGGCUCUGCCUCCGACGCCUGCCGAGUGCACAUCUGAGGCGGCUCCACAGCCGAGUAUGGUGUCGCGGAUGUUUGCAGGCAAUGCUGCACCUCGCAUGUAUUUCGCCCCUCACCACCGUGAGGAGGGAGGCCCCGUUAUGGCGAUGCGGCCGCCUUCUGGAAGCUGCAGAGUGGACGCGUCGCGUGCGGCGGCACGGCUGGCUGCGGUGUUUGGCGGGCUGCCGACACUGGAGGUGUCGCCGCCUUCCCGCUGUCCGAAGGUGGUCUUGCCGGCGUCGCAGCAUGUGCCGCAAGCGAUCGAGGCGGCGCCGGUGUCUGCAGUGGAGGCUCUGCCUCCGACGCCUGCCGAGUGCACAUCUGAGGCGGCGCCACAGCCGAGCGAUUCGGCGCCACAGCCGAACGAUUCGGCGCCGGUGUCGCUUAGCCACACUCGCCCUCCCACGCCUGUCGAGUGCGCAUCUGAGGCGGCGCCCCAGCCGAGCGAGGCGGCGCCGGUGUCUGCAGUGGAGGCUCUGCCUCCGACGCCUGCCGAGUGCACAUCUGAGGCGGCUCCACAGCCGAGUAUGGUGUCGCGGAUGUUUGCAGGCAAUGCUGCUCCUCGCAUGUAUUUCGCCCCUCACCACCGUGAGGAGGGAGGCCCCGUUAUGGCGAUGCGGCCGCCUUCUGGAAGCUGCAGAGUGGACGCGUCGCGUGGGGCGGCACGGCUGGCUGCGGUGUUUGGCGGGCUGCCGACACUGGAGGUGUCGCCGCCUUCCCGCUGUCCGAAGGUGGUCUUGCCGGCGUCGCAGCAUGUGCCGCAAGCGAUCGAGGCGGCGCCGGUGUCUGCAGUGGAGGCUCUGCCUCCGACGCCUGCCGAGUGCACAUCUGAGGCGGCGCCACAGCCGAGCGAUUCGGCGCCGGUGUCGCUUAGCCACACUCGCCCUCCCACGCCUGUCGAGUGCGCAUCUGAGGCGGCGCCCCAGCCGAGCGAGGCGGCGCCGGUGUCUGCAGUGGAGGCUCUGCCUCCGACGCCUGCCGAGUGCACAUCUGAGGCGGCUCCACAGCCGAGUAUGGUGUCGCGGAUGUUUGCAGGCAAUGCUGCACCUCGCAUGUAUUUCGCCCCUCACCACCGUGAGGAGGGAGGCCCCGUUAUGGCGAUGCGGCCGCCUUCUGGAAGCUGCAGAGUGGACGCGUCGCGUGCGGCGGCACGGCUGGCUGCAGUGUUUGGCGGGCUGCCGACACUGGAGGUGUCGCCGCCUUCCCGCUGUCCGAAGGUGGUCUUGCCGGCGUCGCAGCAUGUGCCGCAAGCGAGCGAGGCGGCGCCGGUGUCUGCAGUGGAGGCUCUGCCUCCGACGCUCGCUGAGUGCGCAUGGAACGCUGUGCCGCUGUCGAGGGGGUCUGUUCCACCGCUGCUAUUGCGCGGAGUUGAUGCUGAGGCUGAGUUGGCAGCGGCGCAGCUCGUAGUUGCGGCGCGCAGCGCAAUGACGCCAGCGCCUGUUUACAGGAGCUGUCACAAGCCCGUGUAUGUGGAACGGGGUGCUGCGUGGGACGCUGAGAUGGCGGUGAAAGCGAGUGUGAACCGUCUUCGUUGUCAGGCUUACGGCUCGCCAGUGCCGUAUGGCGCGCUGGAGGGGAGUAUUAUAGUGCCACCGACGCCGUUUGAUGACCAUUUUCCGGCUUCCGCGCCGCAUGCGUCGUAUUAUCAGUUAGACGCCCACAGGGCGGUGGCGCCAGCGUCGGCUUACAGCAGUGGUCACGCGGCGGUGUAUGCGGAGGUGCGUCCCGCGUUGGACGGUGAGAGGGCGACGAGGCAGCUGUCCUACCCUUUCUGUCCUUCAACCGGUAUUACGCCUGCGUUCGCUGCGGCGCCCCAGCCGGGUGAGGCGGCGCCGGUGUCUGCAGUGGAGGCUCUGCCCCCGACGCCUGCCGAGUGCGCAUCUGAGGCGGCGCCACAACCGAGCGAGGCGGCGCCGGUGUCGCUUAGCCACACUCGCCCUCCGACGCCUGCCGAGUGCGCAUCGGAUGCUGCUGCAGAACCGAGCGAGGCGGCGCCGGUGUCCCUCAGCCACACUCGCCCUCCGACGCCGGCCGAGUGCGCAUCGGACGCCGCGGCAGACCCGAGCGAUUCGUCGCCGGUGUCCCUCAGCCACACUCGCCCUCCGACGCCGGCCGAGUGCGCAUCGGACGCCGCGGCAGACCCGAGCGAUUCGUCGCCGGUGUCUCUUACCCACACUCGCCCUCCGACGCCGGCCGAGUGCGCAUCGGAUGCCGCACCCCAGCCUAGCGAGGAGGCGGCCCAACGCGAUGAGACCGCGCCUCUGCGUCGUAAGCGGCCGCGCGAUGAUGCGUCUGAUUCCAGUUUCUGGCCGCGCCGACGGCGCUUUUCACGUCCUCUUGAUAGGGAGCCGCCAACUGCUCCUCCAGUGACGUUGCCGCGGAUUACUCGGCGAGCUCCUCGCGAGUCCGCCCACACUGCAGCGCCCCAGCCGAGCGAGGCGGCGCCGGCGUCUGCAGUGGAGGCUCUGCCUCCGACGCCUGCCGAGUGCGCAUCGGACGCAGCGCCACAGCCGAGCGAGGAGGCGGUCCAACGCGAUGAGACCGCGCCUCUGCGUCGUAAGCGGCCGCGGGAUGAUGCGUCUGAUUCCAGCUUCUGGCCGCGCCGACGGCGCUUUUCACGUCCUCUUGAUAGGGAGCCGCCAACUGCUCCUCCAGUGACGUUGCCGCGGAAUACUCGGCGAGCUCCUCGCGCGUCCGCCCACACUGCAGCGCCCCAGCCGAGCGAGGCGGCGCCGGCGCCUGCAGUGGAGGCUCUGCCUCCGACGCCUGCCGAGUGCGCAUCUGAGGCGGCGCCCCAGCUGAGCGAGGCGGCGCCGGCGUCUGCAGUGGAGGCUCUGCCUGCGACGCCUGCCGAGUGCGCAUCUGAGGCGGCGCCCCAGCCGAGCGAGGCGGGGCCGGUGUCUGCAGUGGAGGCUCUGCCUCCGACGCCUGCCGAGUGCGCAUCUGAGGCGGCGCCCCAGCCGAGCGAGGCGGGGCCGGUGUCUGCAGUGGAGGCUCUGCCUCCGACGCCUGCCGAGUGCGCAUCUGAGGCGGCGCCCCAGCCGAGCGAGGCGGGGCCGGUGUCUGCAGUGGAGGCUCUGCCUCCGACGCCUGCCGAGUGCGCAUCUGAGGCGGCGCCCCAGCUGAGCGAGGCGGCGCCGGCGUCUGCAGUGGAGGCUCUGCCUGCGACGCCUGCCGAGUGCGCAUCUGAGGCGGCGCCCCAGCCGAGCGAGGCGGGGCCGGUGUCUGCAGUGGAGGCUCUGCCUCCGACGCCUGCCGAGUACACAUCUGAGGCGGAGCCCCAGCCGAGCGAGGCGGCGCCGGCGUCUGCAGUGGAGGCUCUGCCUGCGACGCCUGCCGAGUGCGCAUCUGAGGCGGCGCCCCAGCCGAGCGAGGCGGCGCCGGCGUCUGCAGUGGAGGCUCUGCCUGCGACGCCUGCCGAGUGCGCAUCUGAGGCGGCGCCCCAGCCGAGCGAGGCGGCGCCGGUGUCUGCAGUGGAGGCUCUGCCUGCGACGCCUGCCGAGUGCGCAUCUGAGGCGGCGCCCCAGCCGAGCGAGGCGGCGCCGGUGUCUGCAGUGGAGGCUCUGCCUCCGACGCCUGCCGAGUACACAUCUGAGGCGGAGCCCCAGCCGAGCGAGGCGGCGCCGGCGUCUGCAGUGGAGGCUCUGCCUGCGACGCCUGCCGAGUGCGCAUCUGAGGCGGCGCCCCAGCCGAGCGAGGCGGGGCCGGUGUGUGCAGUGGAGGCUCUGCCUGCGACGCCUGCCGAGUGCGCAUCUGAGGCGGCGCCCCAGCCGAGCGAGGCGGGGCCGGUGUCUGCAGUGGAGGCUCUGCCUCCGACGCCUGCCGAGUGCGCAUCUGAGGCGGCGCCCCAGCCGAGCGAGGCGGCGCCGGUGUCUGCAGUGGAGGCUCUGCCUCCGACGCCUGCCGAGUACACAUCUGAGGCGGCGCCCCAGCCGAGCGAGGCGGCGCCGGCGUCUGCAGUGGAGGCUCUGCCUGCGACGCCUGCCGAGUGCGCAUCUGAGGCGGCGCCCCAGCCGAGCGAGGCGGCGCCGGCGUCUGCAGUGGAGGCUCUGCCUGCGACGCCUGCCGAGUGCGCAUCUGAGGCGGCGCCCCAGCCGAGCGAGGCGGGGCCGGUGUCUGCAGUGGAGGCUCUGCCUCCGACGCCUGCCGAGUGCGCAUCUGAGGCGGCGCCCCAGCCGAGCGAGGCGGCGCCGGUGUCUGCAGUGGAGGCUCUGCCUCCGACGCCUGCCGAGUACACAUCUGAGGCGGAGCCCCAGCCGAGCGAGGCGGCGCCGGCGUCUGCAGUGGAGGCUCUGCCUGCGACCCCUGCCGAGUGCGCAUCUGAGGCGGCGCCCCAGCCGAGCGAGGCGGCGCCGGUGUCUGCAGUGGAGGCUCUGCCUCCGACGCCUGCCGAGUGCGCAUCUGAGGCGGCGCCCCAGCCGAGCGAGGCGGCGCCGGUGUCUGCAGUGGAGGCUCUGCCUCCGACGCCUGCCGAGUGCGCAUCCGACGGCGCGCCACAGCCGAGCAAGGCGGCGCCGGUGUCUGCAGUAUACGCUUCGUGUUGCAGGUGCCGCAGGAGCGCGUGGAAUCUUGCUUGUGAUCGCUGGGGAGCGAGUCGUCGUCGCUGUGGAUUACGCAGGGUGAAGACGUCCCAGCGGUCUAACUGCCGGGAUGGCGGCGCGCGCCCAUCGCCUGUUUCUGUUCGGUCACGCGUGAUAAAUGGAUGGCAGUCUGUGCUAGGUGUGAUCCGUAGGUGGAAUUCCAAGGGUUUUGGUGUCGAUCGGCGAGACAUCGUUUGCAGUGCGCGGGUAUCUGAACCGGCUGCUGCGCCACAGCCGAGCGAGGCGGCGGCGAAACUUGAUGCGACCGCGUCUGUGCGUCGUAAGCGGCCGCGCGAUGAUGCGUCUGAUUCCAGCUUCUGGCCGCGCCGACGGCGCUUUUCACGUCCUCUUGAUAGGGAGCCGCCAACUGCUCCUCCAGUAACGUUGGCGCGGAAUACUCGGCGAGCUCCUCGCGCGUCCGCCCACACUGCAGCGCCCCAGCCGAGCGAGGCGGCGCCGGUGUCUGCAGUGGAGGCUCUGCCUCCGACGCCUGCCGAGUGCGCAUCUGAGGCGGCGCCCCAGCCGAGCGAGGCGGCGCCGGUGUCUGCAGUGGAGGCUCUGCCUCCGACGCCUGCCGAGUGCGCAUCUGAGGCGGCGCCCCAGCCGAGCGAGGCGGCGCCGGUGUCUGCUGUAUACGCUUCGUGUUGCAGGUGCUGCAGGAGCUUGUGGGAUCUUGCCUGUGAUCGCAUUGGAGCGAGGCGUCGGCGUUGUGUGUUGCGCAGGGUGAAGACGUCGCAGCGGCCUAAGCGCCGGGUCGUUGGCCCGUCCGCGCCGGCUGCCGCGUCCCGCUCACGCCUGAAAGGCGGAUGGCAUGCUCUGGUGCGUAUGCUGCGGAGGUGGUACCGAAGCGCUUUGUGUGUGGGACAUCGGCUGAUUUGCCGCCGUUCUCGCACCUCCGGACGUGAUGCAGCGCCACAGCUGAGCGAGGUGUCGACUCUGCGAGGCCAGAACGCUUUGCCGGCGGAUGUCCCGCAAGCCCCGCGGGUUGUGUCGGACGCGGGGACGACGUCCCUGCCGGUAUGUGCGCACUGUAUCGCUGACUCGUAGGAUGGGGCUGCGUGGUAUGCAAGGUGCGACGGCACGGCGAGGAGCCGUCAUUCUCCAGUGCAUAGAGGGGCAGGUGAGUAGCGACACCGCACCGAGAAGCGUUGAGAGCGAGGCGGUUGUUGCAGAAAACCUUGGUGGCACUUGUGGCCGUGUGAACCGCUAUGGCCGAUGGUCAAAUUGCGGCGGCGAAAAUCAGAGGGCAUCCCCGCGGACACAGAAUGCAGAGGCGCUGUCGAGUCCUGUGCUACGCGAUGACUCAGCACCUCGGGAUAAAAAGGCGCUCGCUUUUAAACAGCUCCUGGAGCUGCUGCGUCGCCGGCUGGUACAGCACCCCGUAAGGCGCACAUCGCCAGAGGACUUGUGCAUAUGCGUCUUGACAUCUGUGCGCCUUCAUUUUUUUUUUGCUUCUGUUCUUGUCUUUUCCUGCUGUGUAAGUCUAAACCUCUCUCUCUAUAUAUACAUCUUUGUUUGUGUGUUGUGUACAUUAACGUCUAUAUACAUCUUUGUUUGUGUGUUGUGUACACUAACGUCUAUAUAUAUCUUUGUUUGUGUGUUGUGUACACUAACGUCUAUAUACAUCUUUGUUUGUGUGUUGUGUACACUAACGUCUAUAUACAUCUUUGUUUGUGUGUUGUGUACAUUAACGUCUAUAUACAUCUUUGUUUGUGUGUUGUGUACACUAACGUCUAUAUAUAUCUUUGUUUGUGUGUUGUGUACACUAACGUCUAUAUACAUCUUUGUUUGUGUGUUGUGUACAUUAACGUCUAUAUACAUCUUUGUUUGUGUGUUGUGUACAUUAACGUCUAUAUACAUCUUUGUUUGUGUGUUGUGUACACUAACGUCUAUAUAUAUCUUUGUUUGUGUUGUGUACACUAACGUCUAUAUACAUCUUUGUUUGUGUGUUGUGUACACUAACGUCUAUAUACAUCUUUGUUUGUGUGUUGUGUACACUAACGUCUAUAUAUAUCUUUGUUUGUGUGUUGUGUACAUAACGUCUAUAUUAUCUUUGUUUGUGUGUUGUGUACACUAACGUCUAUAUAUAUCUUUGUUUGUGUGUUGUGUACACUAACGUCUAUAUAAUCUUUGUUUGUGUGUUGUGUACCUAAGUCUAUAUCUUUGUUUGUGUGUUGUGUACACUAACGUCUAUAUAUCUUUGUUUGUGUGUUUGUACACUAACGUCUAUAUAUAUCUUUGUUUGUGUGUUGUGUACACUAACGUCUAUAUACAUCUUUGUUUGUGUGUUGUGUACACUAACGUCUAUAUACAUCUUUGUUUGUGUGUUGUGUACACUAACGUCUAUAUACAUCUUUGUUUGUGUGUUGUGUACACUAACGUCUAUAUAUAUCUUUGUUUGUGUGUUGUGUACAUAACGUCUAUAUACAUCUUUGUUUGUGUGUUGUGUACACUAACGUCUAUAUAUAUCUUUGUUUGUGUGUUGUGUACACUAACGUCUAUAUACAUCUUUGUUUGUGUGUUGUGUACACUAACGUCUAUAUAUAUCUUUGUUUGUGUGUUGUGUACACUAACGUCUAUAUAUAUCUUUGUUUGUGUGUUGUGUACACUAACGUCUAUAUACAUCUUUGUUUGUGUGUUGUGUACACUAACGUCUAUAUAUAUCUUUGUUUGUGUGUUGUGUACACUAACGUCUAUAUAUAUCUUGUUUGUG
rnacentral:misc_RNA from 1 species